UAAAUAUUUACUAUAUCUGGCCCUUUACAGAAAAAGACUGCCAACAGCAAACAUCUCCAGCCUUCUCCAGAUCACAACUUAAGAGGAAUGUCAUGUGCAUGAGGCUAAGGAGUGUGGGCUGGCUUGAGAUGGAAAAGGGGAUUAUGACUGCUAUCCACCCUAUACUACAUAUUAAGAAAAUGAAAUUAUGGGAACUCAUGGGAAGAAAGAAUGACAGAUGCAGCUGAUUCCUCCCAUAUGAUGGUUCACAUCAGGCUUUUCCAAAGACUGAAUGAAGAGCUCUAAGGUUUUCUUUCAGGUGCAGUAUCAUGAAGAAACUCAGGCAGCCCUAUGAAGAGGUUCCAUGUGCAAGGAACUGAAGCUUCUGCCAACAGCCAGCAAGAACUCUGCCAACCUUGUGAAUGCACUAUGUUGCAAUUGGAUCCUCCAGGCCCUAUCAAGCCUUCAGUUGACUGCAACCUGAGAAGGGACCUCAAGCCACUCCUAAAUUCCUGACCCACAAAAGGUGUGUGGGAUAACAAAUGCUGAAUGUUGUUUUAAGCAGCAGUUUGGAGGUAUUUUGUUACAUAUAUCAUAUAGGAGCUUAAUCUAAAAUAUGUAUGUGGCUGGGCACGGUGGCUCACGCCUAUAAUCCCAGCACUGAGGCAGGCUGGAUCACCUGAGGUCAGGAGUUCCAAACCAGCCUGGCCAACAGGGUGAAACCCCAUCUCUACUAAAAGACACAAAAAUUAGCCAUGCAUGGUGGUGGGUGCCUGUAAUCCCAGCUACUCUACUCGGGAGGCUGAUGCAGGAGAAUUGCUUGAACCCAGAGGUGGAGGUUGCAGUCAGCCGAAAUCGUGCCACUGCACUCCAGUCUAGGCAAAAAGGUGAGACUCCGUCUCAAAAAUUAAAAUAAAAUAAAAUAAAAUGCAUAUAAUAUAACUGUUAUUGUUGACCCUUCUUGCCUUUACUUUGAUACAGCUGGAGAAGUCCUGAAAAUGUGUCCAAAUUCAUUACAAGGUGAAGAUCAAUUUAAAGAACUCCUCCACAUUUCUCAAAGUAUUAUAUUAAUAAUGAAUUAUAUCAUUUCUUCAGGACAUAAAGGAUUUGGGGUGGGAGGAGAAGGGAAAGGAAGGAAGUGGAAACGAGAUUUUCAUCAUCUUCCCUAAGCCAUUGCUGGUCAUCCUAGAGUAGAAAUCUGAGAGUUUCACUUUAUUGCUUAAAAUCCUUUAAUAUUAUAGUUUCCCAAAGCUUAUGGAAGUGAAUCCAGACACUGCUCAUUGUCUGCACUACAUCUACCAAGCAGGCUCAUGAGGCAGCACAAGGGGUGCACACAAACAUGGGCUGACUUUGCAAGACCUUGGAUAAGUUACUUAAUCUCCCUGCCUCGGUCUGCUCAACAGUAAAAUGAAGGUAAUUAUACUACCAAUAUAGUUACUAUAGGGAAUUAAUACAUUAAAACAUAAAAAACACUUAAAAGAGGACGUUGCCUAAGUGCUCAAUAAAUGUCAGCUAUCAUCAUCAUCUGCCAUUGCAUCUCUCAUAACCCAGACUAUUUCAAGCCAUUAUGAACUACUGGAAUUUUCAAACUCACCAACACUGUUUUAUGCUUUUGCACCUUAGAAAAGGGACUUUCUCUGUCUGGAAUGGCCUUCCUUCACUUCUCUCUCAAUUAUCCUUCUCAACUUCCUUAUAUAGCCUUCUCUGAUUUCCCUUUUACUUACCGCAUCCCUCAUAGACACACCUACAGAGAAUAUUUAAAUUAUUUAUUAUUUGCCUCUCCCACAAAAUUGUAUGCUUGAUAAUAAUACUUGAUACUUAUUGUGUCAAGUACUGUGUGCCAGCCACUGUUUUAUAUUAAGCACUUUACUUAGACUAUCUAACUUAAACUUCUUAAUAACUCAUAAUUAUCCUAGUUUUAUUGACAGUAAAAUCUAUAACAUAUAUAAAUAAAGAAUAAGAAUUCAAACCUUAGCUGUUUGGCUGCAAUUUGUUACAAUCUAAAAUCUAAGGACUAGGAGGUGGAGAUUUCUGACAUGCUGAAAAUAUCAAGGAAGCAAUUAAACCUUCCAGCAGUUAGCAUAAGUGCACACAGUUUAAAAAUUUAUAAUAUAUAUGCAUGGUACUGUAGGUGGGCUACCCCACACCCCCAGUCAUAUCAGCUUCUUGCUUAUACUUUCUGGAGAUAUUUCAUGCAUAUACAGCAUGCACACACAUAUAUGUACAUCUCUUUGUUACACAAAUAGUAGUAUACUUCAUAUAGCCUUCUGAGCCCAUUUUUACUUCCUGUAUCUUUGAGAUUGUUCCGUGUCAGUCCAUACAAAGUGCCUCAUUCUUUUUCACUGCUGCAGAGAAUUCCACCAUAUUCCAUAAUAAUAUGGUUUGGACUUGUGUCCCCACCCAAAUCUCAUGUCAAAUUGUAAUCCCCAGUGUUGGAGGUGGGGCCCGGUGGGAGGUGAUUGGAUCACGGGGCGGUUUCUCAUGAAUGGUUUAGCACCAUCCCCUCGGUGCGAAGUUCCCAUGAGAUCUGGUCGUUUAAAUUGUAUAGCACCUUCCGCCUCUCUUCCUCCUACUCCAGCCAUGUGAAGAUGCCUGCUCCAGCUCUGCCUUCCACCGUGAGUAAAAGCUCCCUGAGGCCUCCCCAGCCUUGCUUCCUGUACAGCCUGCAGUACUGUGAGCUAACUAAACCUCUUUCCUUUAUAAAUUGCCCAGUCUUCAGUAUUUAUAGCAAUGCAAGAACAGACUAUUAUAUUUACCAUAUUCAACCACUCUCCUAUAUUGUUUGUAGCCUUUUGUUGUAAUAUAAAAUCCUAAAGCAAAAUCCUUAUACACAAAGAAAUGGAUAGAGGAUGAUUCUACAGUAAAUAUGGUAAAUGUAUACGCUAUAGCAAAUAUAGUAAAAUGCAACUGUAGAAUCUAAACGGUGAGUGCAGGGGUGCUCUCACUAUCAUAAUUCCUGCAAUUGUUCUGCAUUUAAACCAUCAGUUUGUUUGUUUGUUUGUUUGUUUGUUUGUUUUUUGGAGACAGAGUCUUGCUCUGUUGCCCAGGCUGGAGUGCAGUGGCACAAUCUUGGCUCACUGCAAGGUCCGCCUCCUGGGUUCAUGCCAUUCUCCUGCCUCAGCCUCUUGAGUAGCUGGGACUACAGGCGCCCGCCACCACGCCUGGCUAAUUUUUUGUAUUUUUUAGUAGAGACGGGGUUUCACCGUCUUAACCAGGAUGGUCUCAAUCUCCUGACCUCGUGAUCCACCCACCUCGGCCUCCCAAAGUGCUUGGAUUACAGGUGUGAGCCACCGCGCCCGGCCUAUACUUGUUCUUAAAGUGAGCAUCAUGUUUUUCUUUCAACUUCUCAAUAAAUUGCUAAUAUGAAAUAUUUUAUCAACUUCAAAACAAUCCCCAAAUUUCAAAAAUAUAAUAAUCUUGGAAUGUUUGUUACCCUUGGCUUAUAUCAUAGAAGAACAGAGGAGGCAAUUAUCAGAAGAGUCACAUUUCAACUUCCAUCAUUUUACCCAAGGGACAGUCAAGUAAAGUAAAACUGCCCUAAGUGUCUUAUUUUCUUGGGUCUCUCAACACUCUUUUAGGCAAACACUUGGUCUUCACCAAGAACAAAGAGUUAUAGGUGUCUGUUACCUCUAGGAGAAGCAAGGGGGAAAAAAAAAAAAAAAAAAAAAAAACUAAAACCUUUGGAGAGUCAUUGUUUGACAUCUUCCUUCUCAGCUUCCUUCUUAUAUAAUUCCCAGGAGUCCUAGCCAAUAAAGAAUGGUUUAACUCUUCUUUCUGAAAAAAACAAAUGAUUAUCUUUCUUUAGAAAAUGUAUUCCUCUUUCCUCUGAAGACUCAGAAGCAGACCUUUCAGGAGAAUUUCUGGAUUAGAGUGUGCCAUUUCAGCCAAGGGACUUCCUCUACCAGGGUCCAAAGAUAACACAUUCUAAUGAAUGCUUGCUGGACUGUUUCCUUUUUUUUUCUGACAAUUUGAAGGUCUUCAAUGAAAGCAUGCCAGUAUUACCACAGACUUAUCUUAGGGCAGUGCUUUGGUAAACCAAAUUCAGAAGCUUUAGAAAAGACUAGAAACUAAUAAGUCAGCUAUACAUCCACUUAGAGUUUGCCAGACAGAGAAAAAGGAAAAUAACAUUCCAGUCACAAAGAAUAAAUCACAGAGGGCUUUAAGGCUUAAUUGCCACGUUUUCCCUCCAAAAGAAUCAAAAGUUUAUCACACUUGUUUCCUAAAUCUCCAAAAAUGUGAGUUAUUGAGAGAAGAGUCAUACAAUUUUUAGGAAUUUCCAUUUCUUCCGUUGUCGAACCUUUGAAAAACAAUUGCAAGUUGAAGAGAACUCACAUGACCCAGAAACUGUUCUGAGCUCUAUCAAUGUUCAGGAAGCAGAAUUUUUUUUUUUUUUAACUUUUUAAACUCUUUUUGUAGAGACAGGAUUUCCCUAUGUUGCCUAGGCUGGUCUCCAACUCCUGGGCUCAAGUGAUCCUCCUGCCUUGGCCUCCCAAAGUGCUAAGAUAACAGGUGUGAGCCACCACACGUGGCUGGAAAAAAAUGUUUUCAUCCAGAGAGUAAAACUCAAUGAAGUGGCACAGCACGCAGUACAUUUCAACUUUCCCCUCUUAAAGAUUUCAGCCUACACACUCCAAUUUCACACUCAAUGAAAGCUUAAGCAAAAUGUUAGCAUAAAUCAAAGUUUUAAAUCAUUUUAGAUUGUUAACUAGCAAAUGUCCUGCAGAAAUUUUAAAACUCACUAAAUAAAUUAUAAAUCUAGUUAUGAGAACAAAGCACACUGUGGAAUAUAAGGAUGCAGAAUAAACAGCUAUUCAGAAAGUGUGUCCAAUUUUUGUCCCACCCCUAAGUCAAGAGGCAAACCAUGACCCCGCUGUGGGACUGGGCUGUCAAGCACUCUCCCUCCUCUGCUAACGCUGUUGCCUCUGUUCAGAAGACCUUCCCUGCCCUCUCUUCACGGGGCAAACCUACACCUCUCCUCCAAGAUCCAGCUGAGCCUUUACCUCCUCUGUGGCCCCUGAUCAGAAUCCCCAAGGCAGAAGUUUUUGGAGCUUUAUUCGUGCCUUUCUUUUGUUGUUGUUCUUUUUUUUUAUUUUUUUGAGAUGGAGUCUCGCUCUGUCACUCAGGCUGGAGUGCAGUGGUGUGAACUUGGCUCACUGCAACCUCUGCCUCCCUGGUUCAAGUGAUUCUCCUGGGCUGGUCUCAAACUCCUGACCUCAAACAAUCCUCCUGCCUCAGCCUCCCAAAGUGCUGGGAUUACAGGCAUGAGCCACCACACCCAGCCUAUUCACGCCUUUCUGACACCUACCACUCACUAUAACACACUUAACAAGCCUCUUCCCAUUCCCCACCCCUCAAGGCAGAGCCUGCAGCCCUGGUCAUCCUCUAUCCCUGACACCCACCACAUUGCCCAGCAGACAACAGCACAGUCAGUAGUCCCAUUUACUAAGGACUUACGUGCCAGACACUAUGCUCAGUGCUUUAUAUAAUAUCAACUCAUUUCACCUUCACAAAAACCAUAUGAAUAAUAUAAUAAUAAACUAUAGUAUCCCUCCAAUCAGUCUUCCCCAGCCUCCUUAGGAGGUUCCUUUUCAUG
rnacentral:lncRNA from 1 species